ACGGAGGAUGCGAGCGUCAUCCGGAUUUAUUGGGUUUAAAGGGUGCGUAGGCGGGCUAUUAAGUCAGCUGUGAAAGUUUGCGGCUCAACCGUAAAAUUGCAGUUGAUACUGUUAACCUUGAGUAUAUUGGAAGUAGGCGGAAUGUGUAGUGUAGCGGUGAAAUGCAUAGAUAUUACACAGAACCCCGAUUGCGAAGGCAGCUUACUAUACUAUAACUGACGCUGAUGCACGAAAGCGUGGGGAUCAAACAG
rnacentral:rRNA from 1 species